GGAUGCCUAGGCAAUCAGAGGCGAUGAAGGACGUGCUAAUCUGCGAAAAGCGUCGGUAAGGUGAUAUGAACCGUUAUAACCGACGAUGUCCGAAUGGGGAAACCCAGUGCAAUUCGUUGCACUAUCGUUUGAUGAAUCCAUAGUCAAACGAGGCGAACCGGGGGAACUGAAACAUCUCAGUACCCCGAGGAAAAGAAAUCAACCGAGAUUCCCCUAGUAGCGGCGAGCGAACGGGGAGCAGCCCAGAGUCUUAAUCAGCAUCAGCAUCAGGAGAACGGUCUGGAAAGGCCGGCAAUAAAGGGUGAUAGCCCCGUAUCCGAAGGUGUUGGUGUUGUGAACUCGACGAGUAGGGCGGGACACGUGUUAUCCUGUCUGAAUAUGGGGGGACCAUCCUCCAAGGCUAAAUACUCCUGAUUGACCGAUAGUGAACCAGUACCGUGAGGGAAAGGCGAAAAGAACCCCGGCGAGGGGAGUGAAAUAGAACCUGAAACCGUGUACGUACAAGCAGUGGGAGCC
rnacentral:rRNA from 1 species